rnacentral:rRNA from 1 species
GAUGAACGCUGGCGGCGUGCCUAAUACAUGCAAGUCGAGCGAACAGAUAAGGAGCUUGCUCCUUUGACGUUAGCGGCGGACGGGUGAGUAACACGUGGGUAACCUACCUAUAAGACUGGAAUAACUCCGGGAAACCGGGGCUAAUGCAGGAUAACAUGUUGAACCGCAUGGUUCUACAGUGAAAGGCGGCUUUGCUGUCACUUAUAGAUGGACCCGCGCCGUAUUAGCUAGUUGGUGAGGUAACGGCUCACCAAGGCAACGAUACGUAGCCGACCUGAGAGGGUGAUCGGCCACACUGGAACUGAGACACGGUCCAGACUCCUACGGGAGGCAGCAGUAGGGAAUCUUCCGCAAUGGGCGAAAGCCUGACGGAGCAACGCCGCGUGAGUGAUGAAGGUCUUCGGAUCGUAAAACUCUGUUAUUAGGGAAGAACAAAUGCGUAAGUAACUGUGCGCGUCUUGACGGUACCUAAUCAGAAAGCCACGGCUAACUACGUG